ACUUUUAGAUCACUUCGGUUGAGUUUAAAACUCAUUACCUUUUGAUGGAUCAAUGAUCUCCACUACUGGUAGGUAUGGUAUGAAGCUCUCACUGAUGUCGAGAAGCCACACAGGUCAUCAAGGUCUCUACAGAUCGUCCACUCGAAGCCCUGAUCAGAUUUUUCUUCGCAGGAGUGCUAGCUCGCAUUGAAGGCUCUAGAUGGCUGAUCCAAGCUCCUUUCUUUGGAUCUCCUGAACUCCUCU
rnacentral:lncRNA from 1 species